CUUGAACUUUGACCACAAAGAAUCCCGAAACUGGUACAUUUGAUGAGGUCAGCUGUGAUCCAGUUCAUAUGUGCUCCUUUUACUCUCACCUUACGCAGCAGGGCAUGCAAAUUCCAAAUUUGUAGGAGUUCAGACAAAGAAUUCAACUGCACAGUCUAGAUCUGGGAUAAUGUUUAAUCUGUGCCAUGGGAGUUUCUUGAUGUCAUUAAGAAAGGAUUCACGAUUACAUUUUUUGAAAGACCUGGUG